rnacentral:rRNA from 1 species
CGCCUGUUUAACAAAAACAUGUCUUCUUGCUAUAUUUAGGAAGUCUGGCCUGCCCAGUGAAAAUAAUUUAACGGCCGCGGUAUACUGACCGUGCAAAGGUAGCAUAAUCAUUAGUCUUUUAAUAGAGGGCUGGUAUGAAGGGUUUAACGAGGUGUUGACUGUCUCAUUUAAUUUGAAUUUAGAAUUUAAUUUUUUAGUUAAAAAGCUAAAAUACUAUUGGAAGACGAGAAGACCCUAUAGAGCUUUAUAUUUUUAUUAUUAAUUUAUUUUAGUCUAUUAUUAUUUAUUAUUAAUAGAAAGUAUUUUGUUGGGGUGACAAAAAUAUAUAAAUAACUUUUUCAUUUAUUUUACAUUGUUAUAUGAAUAUUAGAUCCAAUCUUAUUGAUUGUUAGAUUAAGUUACCUUAGGGAUAACAGCG